rnacentral:rRNA from 1 species
GACGUAGGGCGCGAGCGUUGUCCGGAUUUAUUGGGCGUAAAGAGCUCGUAGGCGGCUUGUCGCGUCGACUGUGAAAACCCGCGGCUCAACUGCGGGCUUGCAGCCGAUACGGGCAGGCUAGAGUUCGGUAGGGGAGACUGGAAUUCCUGGUGUAGCGGUGAAAUGCGCAGAUAUCAGGAGGAACACCGGUGGGCGAAGGCGGGUCUCUGGGCCGAUACUGACGCU